GGAGAGAUGGCAUGUGUGGUUGAUAGCUCCGAUCUUGAAAAUCAGUAUAGUUUGAAAGAACUAUUGAGGGUUUGAAUCCCCCUCUCUCUU
rnacentral:tRNA from 1 species